rnacentral:misc_RNA from 1 species
AGUCGUAACAAGGUUUCCGUAGGUGAACCUGCGGAAGGAUCAUUACCGAGUGCGGGCUGCCUCCGGGCGCCCAACCUCCCACCCGUGACUACCUAACACUGUUGCUUCGGCGGGGAGCCCUCUCGGGGGCGAGCCGCCGGGGACUACUGAACUUCAUGCCUGAGAGUGAUGCAGUCUGAGUCUGAAUAUAAAAUCAGUCAAAACUUUCAACAAUGGAUCUCUUGGUUCCGGCAUCGAUGAAGAACGCAGCGAACUGCGAUAAGUAAUGUGAAUUGCAGAAUUCAGUGAAUCAUCGAGUCUUUGAACGCACAUUGCGCCCCCUGGCAUUCCGGGGGGCAUGCCUGUCCGAGCGUCAUUGCUGCCCAUCAAGCCCGGCUUGUGUGUUGGGUCGUCGUCCCCCCCGGGGGACGGGCCCGAAAGGCAGCGGCGGCACCGUGUCCGGUCCUCGAGCGUAUGGGGCUUUGUCACCCGCUCGAUUAGGGCCGGCCGGGCGCCAGCCGACGUCUCCAACCAUUUUCUUCAGGUUGACCUCGGAUCAGGUAGGGAUACCCGCUGAACUUAAGCAUAUCAAUAAGCGGAGGAA